CAAUCCAUGAGUAAAGCGGCGUACGGGUGAGUAACACGUGGGUAAUCUACCUUUUAGUGGGGAAUAACCCUGGGAAACCGGGGCUAAUACCGCAUAAUCCUGCAAAGGGAAAGCAGCAAUGCGCUGAAAGAGGAGCCCGCGGCCGAUUAGCUAGUUGGUGGGGUAAGAGCCUACCAAGGCGAUGAUCGGUAGCGGGUCUGAGAGGAUGAUCCGCCACACGGGGACUGAGACACGGCCCCG
rnacentral:rRNA from 1 species